UCGUAGGGCUUCUGCCCUGUCGAGAUAGCGUCCUUGCCUAUUUUUUGGAGUACCUUUUCGUUUCCUCAGCAGGCUUGCCUGCUACUGGGGACCUCUUAAACUCUUUGUAAAUACAGCAUCUGUCUGAACAAACAAACAAAAAUCA
rnacentral:misc_RNA from 2 species